CACUAUGGAAAACAGUAUGGAGGUUCCUCAAAAAACUAAGAAUUUUCUCAGAAGCUAAACAGAGUCGAGCCUGAUUAGUACUUGGAUGGGUGACCACCUAGAAAGACCAGAUGCUGUAGUUG
rnacentral:rRNA from 1 species